rnacentral:rRNA from 1 species
GACGAACGCUGGCGGCGUGCCUAAUACAUGCAAGUUGAGCGCUGAAGGUUGGUACUUGUACCAACUGGAUGAGCAGCGAACGGGUGAGUAACGCGUGGGGAAUCUGCCUUUGAGCGGGGGACAACAUUUGGAAACGAAUGCUAAUACCGCAUAAAAACUUUAAACACAAGUUUUAAGUUUGAAAGAUGCAAUUGCAUCACUCAAAGAUGAUCCCGCGUUGUAUUAGCUAGUUGGUGAGGUAAAGGCUCACCAAGGCGAUGAUACAUAGCCGACCUGAGAGGGUGAUCGGCCACAUUGGGACGGAGACACGGCCCAAACUCCUACGGGAGGCAGCAGGAGGGAAGCUUCGGCAAUGGACGAAAGUCUGACCGAGCAACGCCGCGGGAGUGAAGAAGGUUUUCGGAUCGUAAAACUCUGUUGGUAGAGAAGAACGUUGGUGAGAGUGGAAAGCUCAUCAAGUGACGGUAACUACACAGAAAGGGACGGCUAACUACGUG